rnacentral:rRNA from 1 species
UACGUAGGGCGCAAGCGUUAUCCGGAAUUAUUGGGCGUAAAGAGCUCGUAGGCGGUUUGUCGCGUCUGCCGUGAAAGUCCGGGGCUCAACUCCGGAUCUGCGGUGGGUACGGGCAGACUAGAGUGAUGUAGGGGAGACUGGAAUUCCUGGUGUAGCGGUGAAAUGCGCAGAUAUCAGGAGGAACACCAGUGGCGAAAGCGCGUGACUGGGCCACAACUGACGCUGAGGAACGAAAGCCAGGGGAGCGAAAGGG